AUUGAACGCUGGCGGCAUGCCUUACACAUGCAAGUCGAACGGUAACGGGCCUUCGUUUGCCGACGAGUGGCGAACGGGUGAGUAAUACAUCGGAACGGGCCCGAUCGCUGGGGAUACGAGGCGAAAGCUUUGCUAAUACCCCAUACGCUCUACGGAUGAAAGCAGGGGACCGUAAGGCCUUGCGCGGACGGAUCGGCCGAUGGCAGAUUAGGUAGUUGGUGGGUUAAAGGCUUACCAAGGCGACGAUCUGUAGCUGGUCUGAGAGGAUGAUCAGCCACACUGGGACUGAGACACGGCCCAGACUCCUACGGGAGGCAGCAGUGGGGAAUUUUCGACAAUGGGCGCAAGCCUGAUCCAGCAAUGCCGCGUGCAGGAUGAAGGUCUUCGGGUUGUAAAAUGCUUUUGUAAGGAACGAAAAGCCUUCUUUUAAUACAGGAGGGUCAUGACGGUACCGUAAGAAUAAGCCCCGGCUAACUACGUG
rnacentral:rRNA from 1 species